rnacentral:lncRNA from 1 species
AGUUAAGCCAGGAAGUUGAAAAAAAGAAACUAGUUCUUGAGUUGAAUGUCGGGGUAGUCACAACUGGAUCUGAAAGAACUUUCCAUAUCCCAAGUGUAGAGGAUGCCACCUAUACUUCAGGGUCAACCCAAUCAGAGUAAAAUUGGAUUCAAAUUGACCAAAGACUGGACAAACAAAUCAGAGAGAAUGUUGAGAAAGUGAACAAGUUUUUGCUGACUCACUUUUGCUUCAUGUGAAGAGGGUCGACCCAGCCAGAGUUAAGGAUUCAGAUCAACCAACAACUGGACAAAAAAUCCAGGGCUGUCGCAGAGUGGGAAAUUUGAGUCACAGUUUGUCAGUGAGCAGUUCAAAAUUCCCAGGCCGCAACAUUUAGGGAUAUUGCACCAACCCCUGGAUGGAUGGGGCUAUCGAUGUGUCAUUGCAUGCAUGCUCUAGAAGUUAACAAAAUUUGCUCAGCUCCAUGGAUAUAGUGUACUACAAUUUUCGAGAAAAUACCAAGACUUCGUCUUCUAGCACUCUGCAUUUCCAAAACUCUGUUGACAUAUUGUUGGAAAUCACCUACAUUUCUUGAUUUGUUUUUUGAAAGCAAGCCAGACAAAAUAAAUUCACGGCGUGUUUACCACCAGUACGAUCUUUAAUCCAAGUAAGGCUUUUGAGAAUAAUUCAGUAACUUAGUUUUGGGGUACAUGUAUGCAAAUGAUUCUGUACUGUACGCCUUUAAGGGGAGGAGAUGACAUGCAAAAUGUGAGUCCUAAUUAAGCAGGUCAUCAGGGGAAACUGGAUCUCCUGUUUCGGAGGGGAAGCAUAAAGUUCAGGCUGAGGUAAGCUUCUGAAAGCUAUAAAUAAAUUUGGUUUCUUUGUUACUAAAUUCAUGGUGACUGAUAUAUUUCCACAUAGGCCUACAUAGAUUCACUUUUGUAAUUUAACAAUAAAAACAACUGAUAGAUGUAA